rnacentral:lncRNA from 1 species
GUUUCACUUAAUAAAUAAAAAUCAGACACCAGUGUCACGGAGAGGCCGUCUGAAUCAAGAACUCACAUUUUGAAAUAGAACUGAAUAUAAAUAUUGGAUCCCAAUAACUCUAAAUUUGAAGCACACAGAAUUCAUCUCAGUCUUUUUUUGUGGCUGAGGGCCUCUGUAUCUCUUGCUAGCUUUUGUGGGGAAAACUUCUAAAAAAAAGGCAUCACAACUAUUUAUAUUUGUUUGUUUGGUAUGGGGUUGAACAGCAUCAAGCAGAAAGCCAGAGAUGUAUUUAGAUUCAUUUCCCUGGAAUACGGGUGGGGAUGGACAUGUUCUUGAUUAAAACUGGGAGUUUAGAAGAUUGUUUCCCAAGGUUAUUUUUGGUUGUUGAAGUCUGGAUCUAAAGCUUGUCGCCUGGCUCCAACCCCUACACAUUCAUAUCUGAUUUGGCCAAUUUGGAACUUAAUCUUUAUUUGGAAGCAAAGGAGAGCAACUGUUCACAGAUUUUAAGGGAUGCCCCAAUUUUUCUUAGGACAGUGUAAAGCUAUUUGAGGUAAUCUGGGUCUUACAAAUGCAUCUGUUUUGCACCUUGUCAAUAUAUUUUGUUACCAGAUGAAGGGAAGAUUGGGAAAUCUCUGAAAUUCCUUUUGAUGUCUAGGGAAAGGAGAAGACUUUUGUAUAAGGACACCCACCUGAAAAGUUUUCUCAUCACAUUGCCCUCCAGAGCAAUUUGGCUAAAGGUGUGACGUCAAAGUGCAUUCAGAAACUGUCAGCAUUGUGAUGCACGAGCGGGUUGUCACCGCAAAAAUGUCCCCAGCAAGGGUUCAGCUGUGUCCUGGGGCAAGGCAUCAGGAUGCUCCCAGUGGAACAUCAGGAUGUGGCAGGAUGUCGAGGCCCAUCAAAGGGAAGGAUCGCAAAAGUCACUGCCUUCUGCUCCCCUCUGCCCUAGGCAGGGCAGGUGUCCCUGCUGGCUUUGCCCUCUCCAUGCUUGUUUGUGUGACCAGACUCAUGAAGGAGCAGAGCGGAAACCGUUAGAGAGACCAUUUCCAAGCACAGCUGCCCAGAAAACUUCAUGGUGUAUAUUCAUGGCAUUUCCCUCCGGAUGGCAGAGCAGCAAGGAUUCUUUGUGUAAACCCCAUUUAAAGAUUUAAUUUAGCUUCAUUGCUCUGCUCCCUGAGGUGGCUGGAGCAAUGAGAGGAGAGUCACCACUUUCCUUUCAGAGUAGAGCGCUGACAAUGAAAAAAAUUAAAUUUGUAUGUUCUGUCCCAACAAACAGUACUUCUAAAGGGAAUAUUAUGUCAGUACUGUGGCUAGUUAUUUUUUAGUCCCAGUGGUCUGGGGCUGCACAACAGCCACAAGCAUCAUAUCAGAGUGUCCACUUCCAAAAACCUUUUCUUCUGCAGAGUCAAGAGGAUCCAAGAAGAAGUUUUAAUUUCAGUCUGGCAGCAGAGAAAAGCGAAUGCAUGUGGAGUGAGGAGUCAGGAGUACAGACCCACUAGUUCUUCAUGAACUGCACAUGAGUGUUUUUACACUGAGUUGUUCUACUCAAUGCAAAAACAUUGAGGAUGGCACUGCUGGUCUUAUCACAAACUGCUUGACAAACCACUACUCCACUUGCCAGGUGAAUUUUGUCAAGUACCUGCGAAGCGAAGCCUGACACUAAAAAACAGUAAACUGCAAAAUGUGGGGACCUUCGCUGGUCUCGCCAUUUAAUUUGUACAUUUUCUUUGUAUUCCUCCAACAUGUCACUGUUAGCCUGUUUGUAUUAGAACUGAGAAUUAUCUGAAUGCAAAUACUAUGUCUCUGUGUACGUAUUGGUGCAUCAAGCAGUCUCUUGCUGCCUUCUCUAGGCCUGUUUCAAACAAUUGUUAUAGCAGUUCAUAAUUUUAAUUUAAACAUUUUUAUUAGUAAUUCAUUUAUUAUCUGAUGGGAAAACUGAGCCUGGUCUCAUCUCUUGCUGGACACCUGAGACCUAGCAUGUACCUGCACUUUGGAGGUAGAAACCUGUGGCUCUGAGAAGCUUCACUGCUCCCUGAAUCAUCUGCUGCCGUUCAUAGCAGCACCCUGGUCCUCCUGCAGCUGUGCAACACCUACCAGCUAUCAACCUCUAAAGCAACAAGUCAAUAAGAAAAUUGUUUUCUCGCUACACCACUAGAUGCCCACCUUUCUAGCUAAGUGGUCCAGGGACUGGAAACAAGUUUUUUUCUCUUUGAGCGGUGAAUAUUCUUGAGCUGUCACAGUGUAGAAGGGUAUUUUUUGACAUACAGAUGACCUCAGUUCUAUCUAAGAUUUCAUGGGUAUGUACCCUGGCAAAAAACAUUUACCUUCCUCUGAGCAGUGCAUUGAUUAAUACAGUAGUACAUGAUAAUAUCCUAACAAUAAACUGAUUAAUAUUUUGAUAAAUCA